rnacentral:rRNA from 1 species
AGAGCGAACGCUGGCGGCAGGCCUAACACAUGCAAGUCGAGCGCCCCGCAAGGGGAGCGGCAGACGGGAGAGUAACACGUGGGAACGUACCCUUCAGUUCGGAACAACCCAGGGAAACUUGGGCUAAUACCGAAUACGUCCGUAAGGAGAAAGAUUUAUCGCUGAAGGAUCGGCCCGCGUCUGAUUAGCUAGUUGGUGGGGUAAUGGCCCACCAAGGCGACGAUCAGUAGCUGGUCUGAGAGGAUGAUCAGCCUCAUUGGGACUGAGACACGGCCCAAACUCCUACGGGAGGCAGCAGUGGGGAAUAUUGGACAAUGGGCGCAAGCCUGAUCCAGCCAUGCCGCGUGGAUGAUGAAGGCCUUAGGGUUGUAAAGUCCUUUCGGCGGGGAAGAUAAUGACGGUACCCGCAGAAGAAGCCCCGGCUAACUUCGUGCCAGCAGCCGC